CGGGUGGAGGGCGGGCGGAUGGAGCGUAUGUUAGGGACGUGCUUCAGGCCCCAGGACUAGACACCUGCCGGUUAGGACGUUUCGUGUGUCUAUUCUACAAACAAAAUUGGGAAGCGGACCUCAUGGCCUGGCCUCUGCUUGUCAAUUCUGUUGUUUUGCAGGAGUUUUUGUAAGGAAGAUCUUUUGCUGGCAACUUUCUUCAGUUUGGGCCCAGAGCUUGGAGGAGCGGGCCUCCCGGGAGGAGCUGUGGGCGCGAUCAGAGCAGCAGCGCCCUCCCCGCGAGGCCUCGCCCCUCCUGUGGCGCGGGCGCCCGUGUCGUCUGCUGCCCCGGCAGACCCUGGAAGCCCCGCUGUCACCGCGGAACUGAAGGGGUGACGCACAAAGCGUGUGAGGUACAUUUUCCGAGAAGGGAGACAUUCUCACAAGCUACAUUUUCCCCAAAUAGGAAGAGACCUUUCAAAGUCGAGUCUGUGCAAGAAGCUGGUGUUCACACCAUGCAGGGGACCCCCUUUCCUGCUUUGUGGACCUGCCCAAGGCUGGCCUGCCUGUGGGGCCUCCCCGUCCCUGGCCAGCAGAGCCAUCCUUCCUGGGGCCCCAGGGAAGAAGUACGCUUCAGGCAGGAAUAGCGUCCUCUGGUUAAUUAGCAUAUGUUCUGUUCAGUAACGAUGUGGUCUAUUUAAUUAAUACGUGUUCUAUUUGGUAACAAUAUCCCUAAUUAAUACGAGUUCUAUUGUUACGAUGUACUCUAUUUAAUUAACUUCAUGUGUUCUGGGUAGAAACAACAGUAUGCUCCAUUUGACUUAUUUCCCCUGUGCACUGACCCUAAUGAAUUCCAAAACACA